rnacentral:rRNA from 1 species
UACGUAGGCAGCGAGCGUUGUUCGGAAUUACUGGGCGUAAAGAGCGUGUAGGCGGUGUUCCAAGUCUGGUGUGAAAUCUCCCGGCUCAACUGGGAGGGUGCGCCGGAAACUGGAAUGCUAGAGGGUGGUAGGGGUAUGCGGAACUAUCGGUGGAGCGGUGAAAUGCGUUGAUAUCGAUAGGAACUCCGGUGGCGAAGGCGGCAUACUGGACCACUUCUGACGCUGAGGCGCGAAAGCCAGGGGAGCAAACGGGG